GAUGAACGCUGGCGGCGUGCCUAAUACAUGCAAGUCGAGCGAACAGACGAGGAGCUUGCUCCUCUGACGUUAGCGGCGGACGGGUGAGUAACACGUGGAUAACCUACCUAUAAGACUGGGAUAACUUCGGGAAACCGGAGCUAAUACCGGAUAAUAUAUUGAACCGCAUGGUUCAAUAGUGAAAGACGGUUUUGCUGUCACUUAUAGAUGGAUCCGCGCCGCAUUAGCUAGUUGGUAAGGUAACGGCUUACCAAGGCAACGAUGCGUAGCCGACCUGAGAGGGUGAUCGGCCACACUGGAACUGAGACACGGUCCAGACUCCUACGGGAGGCAGCAGUAGGGAAUCUGCGGCAAUGGGCGAAAGCCUGACGGAGCAACGCCGCGUGAGUGAUGAAGGUCUUCGGAUCGUAAAACUCUGUUAUUCGGGAAGAACAAAUGUGUAAGUAACUAUGCACGUCUUGACGGUACCUAAUCAGAAAGCCACGGCUAACUACGUG
rnacentral:rRNA from 1 species